UACGAAGGGGGCUAGCGUUGUUCGGAAUUACUGGGCGUAAGGCGCGCGUAGGCGGCUUUGCAAGUUAGAGGUGAAAGCCCGGAGCUUAACUCCGGAACUGCCUUUAAAACUGCAUCGCUAGAAUCGUGGAGAGGUGAGUGGAAUUCCGAGUGUAGAGGUGAAAUUCGUAGAUAUUCGGAAGAACACCAGUGGCGAAGGCGACUCACUGGACACGUAUUGACGCUGAGGUGCGAAAGCGUGGGGAGCAAACAGG
rnacentral:rRNA from 1 species